rnacentral:rRNA from 1 species
CAGUAGCCACGGGAAUACGUAGGGUGCAAGCGUUAAUCGGAAUUACUGGGCGUAAAGCGUGCGCAGGCGGUCCGUUAAGACAGAUGUGAAAUCCCCGGGCUUAACCUGGGACCUGCAUUUGUGACUGUAUAGCUAGAGUACGGUAGAGGGGGAUGGAAUUCCGCGUGUAGCAGUGAAAUGCGUAGAUAUGCGGAGGAACACCGAUGGCGAAGGCAAUCCCCUGGACCUGUACUGACGCUCAUGCACGAAAGCGUGGGGAGCAAACAGGAUUAGAUACCCGCGUAGUCCCUGUCUCUUAUAU